AUGCAAGUCGAACGAUUAAAGCUCUCUUCGGAGAGUGUAUAGAGUGGCGCACGGGUGAGUAACACGUAAGUAAUCUACCUUUGAGUGGGGAAUAACAGUCGGAAACGACUGCUAAUACCGCAUAAUGCAGCGGCAUCGCAAGAUGACAGUUGUUAAAGAUUUAUCGCUUAAAGAGGAGCUUGCGGCAGAUUAGCUAGUUGGUAAGGUAAUGGCUUACCAAGGCUACGAUCUGUAACCGGUCUAAGAGGACGGUCGGUCACACUGACACUGAACAGCGGGUCAGACUCCUACGGGAGGCAGCAGUCGGGAAUUUUGGGCAAUGGGCGAAAGCCUGACCCAGCAACGCCGCGUGAAGGAUGAAGUAUUUCGGUAUGUAAACUUCGAAAGAAUGGGAAGAAUAAAUGACGGUACCAUUUAUAAGGUCCGGCUAACUACGUGCCAGCAGCCGCGGUAAUACGUAGGGACCAAGCGUUGUUCGGAUUUACUGGGCGUAAAGGGCGCGUAGGCGGCUUGACAAGUCACUUGUGAAAUCUCCGGGCUUAACUCGGAACGGCCAAGUGAAACUGUCAUGCUAGAGUGCAGAAGGGGCAAUCGGAAUUCUUGGUGUAGCGGUGAAAUGCGUAGA
rnacentral:rRNA from 1 species